UGUUGAACGAAUGUUGUCUUCCAACUAGAUUAUUACCUUUUUAAUAUGUAAUAUAUGAUAUACGUCUUACAAUAUCUGGACUAAAUAUACGUAUUGGAGAGUAGGGACUCUGUCUUCCAGGCUCUCAUCUAAGUAUUGCUCCUAGGCGUCGAAAAAAAAGAAAGUGUUGUCUUCCUUGCCAUGUGUAUUCCAAUGUCUGGAAUCAAAAUAUUAAACAAUCCUUGCUUUAAAGUUUUUGCACAAUUGGAUGAAAAAUAACUUCUGGAUCAAGAAGUGUUUCAUCGGAAUUUAUUUAGAGGGCAAUAUUUUGGAUAAGUUACUGAACUAAAGGAUCCAAAAGGAAUAAAGAUUUGGAAAAAGUGAUUCAACCAAGUUUUGAAAAAUUUGACCAUAAUUUCUCUUCUGAAAAAGUUUAUUUGUAAUUAUGUUGUUAUUUAACUUGUAAUUAGUGUAAAAUAAACCUUUUUGAUGUUUUAACUUCUUUGUUUUCAUUGUUGACACUUCUGGAUAUUGUCUCUUCUUAUUUCUUAUGUAGACAUGCUCACAUAUUUUUUUGGUAAUAAUUUUUGAGCUAAAAUUCUUUCUCUCGAUAAAAUUGUUUUCGAGAUGCUUACCUUUAAUGGAUACUUAUGGUGUUUAAAAAUUAAUUUAUCCAUAAGUU